UAAAACUCUGUUGUUGGAGAAGAAUGUAUCUGAUAGUAACUGAUCAGGUAGUGACGGUAUCCAACCAGAAAGCCAUGGCUAACUACGUGCCAGCAGCCGCGGUAAUACGUAGGUGGCAAGCGUUGUCCGGAUUUAUUGGGCGUAAAGCGAGCGCAGGCGGUUUCUUAAGUCUGAUGUGAAAGCCUUCGGCUCAACCGAAGAAGUGCAUCGGAAACUGGGAAACUUGAGUGCAGAAGAGGACAGUGGAACUCCAUGUGUAGCGGUGAAAUGCGUAGAUAUAUGGAAGAACACCAGUGGCGAAGGCGGCUGUCUGGUCUGUAACUGACGCUGAGGCUCGAAAGCAUGGGUAGCAAACAGGAUUAGAUACCCUGGUAGUCCAUGCCGUAAACGAUGAGUGCUAGGUGUUGGAGGGUUUCCGCCCUUCAGUGCCGCAGCUAACGCAUUAAGCACUCCGCCUGGGGAGUACGACCGCAAGGUUGAAACUCAAAGGAAUUGACGGGGGCCCGCACAAGCGGUGGAGCAUGUGGUUUAAUUCGAAGCAACGCGAAGAACCUUACCAGGUCUUGACAUCCUUUGACCACUCUAGAGAUAGAGCUUUCCCUUCGGGGACAAAGUGACAGGUGGUGCAUGGUUGUCGUCAGCUCGUGUCGUGAGAUGUUGGGUUAAGUCCCGCAACGAGCGCAACCCUUAUUACUAGUUGCCAGCAUUUAGUUGGGCACUCUAGUGAGACUGCCGGUGACAAACCGGAGGAAGGUGGGGACGACGUCAAAUCAUCAUGCCCCUUAUGACCUGGGCUACACACGUGCUACAAUGGAUGGUACAACGAGUUGCGAGACCGCGAGGUUUAGCUAAUCUCUUAAAACCAUUCUCAGUUCGGAUUGUAGGCUGCAACUCGCCUACAUGAAGCCGGAAUCGCUAGUAAUCGCGGAUCAGCAUGCCGCGGUGAAUACGUUCCCGGGCCUUGUACACACCGCCCGUCACACCAUGAGAGUUUGUAACACCCAAAGCCGGUGAGGUAACCCUUCGGGGAGCCAGCCGUCUAAG
rnacentral:rRNA from 1 species